GAUGAAGAACGCAGUGAAAUGCGAUAAGUAAUGCGAAUUGCAGAAUUCAGUGAGUCAUCGAAUCUUUGAACGCACAUUGCGCCCUGUGGUAUUCCGCAGGGCAUGCCUGUUCGAGCGUCAUUUCAACCCUCAAGCUCUGCUUGGUGUUGGGCCACGCCCUCGCGGCCGGCCCCAAAGCCAGUGGCGGCGCCGUCCGGCUCUAAGCGUAGUACAUCUCUCGCUCUAGGGCCCGGCGGCUGCCUGCCAGAACCCCAAACUCUUAUGGUUGACCUCGGAUCAGGUAGGGAUACCCGCUGAACUUAAGCAUAUCAAUAAGCGGAGGA
rnacentral:misc_RNA from 1 species